CGAGCGGGAAUGCGGCAGAGGUAUUUCUGCUUCUCCAUCCUUUCCCUCUUCCGACUUUGCGCCGGGAGAACCAGCCCGUCUACCGGUGAGGAAGAAAAAAGGAAAGGAAGAAACAAUCCGACACAGUCGCAAAAACAUGCGCUUCCGCGCUCUUCUACGAUAACGACGGAGGAGCUCGUCUCCGCCAACACUCCCGCCGGUGGCUCGUCGUGGGCACACGCGGUCGACUCGUGCCCUCGUGUGCGUGCCCCGUGCGUGAGAACGCUCGGUCUCUCGAGUAUGCGAGCGGACGUCGGGCUCUCUCUGCUGAGCGAAAGAGAGAGAGAACCGUCGGAAAGGAAGAGGAGGGAGCGUGGUGUGCUGCCGGAGAGAACGUAGCGGUGGAGGUGGCGGCGGCAGAGGAGGAUGCGGAGGUGGAGGAAAGAGCCAGUCCUCUUGGGAGCGACUCGUGAGAGCGCCGAGCGGGAAGGAGAGAGGAGAGUCGAGAGCCGCUUAGUCCCACGCGACGGCUCGUGGCUCCUCGUGGCCGACGCGCGUCGCGUCGCCCUCUUCGUCCGGACGCGACGAGGCGGCAGCGGUGGGAGAUCGGGAGUGGGAUAUCCCGGCUUAAGGUCGUCGCGAACGACCGCUCGCGCGGCGCGACCUCGUCGAGCAUUUAAAUGGAAACGUAAGGUAAACGUGCCAAUUAAGGCCGCAUUUGGCGUCCGCUCGGUGAGCCUCCCGCGAGCGCGAGCGGUGGGGGGGGAAUCGGUAGAAAUAUUAUUUAUAUUAGAGCUACUCACCGGGCGCGCAGGCGGGUGGUCCGAUAUCGAUAAGGUCGGACUUUAUCGUAAGUUAGGACGAGGGAGCGGACGGAAAGAGAGAGGCGAGAGGAGCGGCUGUAUGUCUCUGCACCACAGGGCGCGUAAUUAAGAGCGCGCCGCGGAUCUGUUUCGAAGAGGUAUCUCUCGCUUUUCUCCUUCUUUCUUUUUCUUUCUUCUCGUUACUUUAUUUAAUACAGGAAGAAAUUCCUAUUCGCGUGACGCGGGGUAAUUCGCUCGCAAGACAGAGAACGCUUUCUUCAGUCAAUGCGAGAAAAUUUAAUUCUGAAAGGUCCGCUAAGAGAUCUGUGCUCGCGAUACGAUUGCGAAAAAGUACACAUACGAUUCCGCCAACGUUGUCUAGAAAUUAACGUUGCUCCGAGGAUAGGCGAUCUCCGAAGCGAUGCGGAGAAACGAGAGAGAGAGGGAGAAAAUUACGGUCGAUCGACGCGUCUGGUUCGCGUGCGCUCGCGUGACCGCAAAUCAUCCGUUGGAAAUCAUUUUCGUCCGGCGCGGUGACGAUGCGUCGAGUGUCGAUUCAGCUGAAUCAAUAUACCGGGGAAAACACAUUUUCAAUUCUGAUUCGCGACGGUCGCGUGGGCACAUCUGUGCGAGGAAUAUUCGCGCGCGCGUCGAGCCUUGAACGGGAGAGCGAACGCGGCCAAUGACACAAAGAACAUCGGCUAACCGCUCGCAUGAUUUAUUGUCGAUUUCGCGAAGCGAUAUCACUCGUACAGAGCGUUGCAGCGGUGCUCGAACCUACCUGUCGAUCGUUCACCUCUUCCCCUCCUCACCCCUGGCUCGAUCAAUAAAGCGAGCAAUCGGGAUAGUGGUAUUGAACCAGGGGAAAAAUGAUAAAAGAGAGAUCUCGUCGAUCCCGAUGUGUGUAAACUAUAUUCAGAUAUCGCUGAGGAUAUUCGUUGGAGAAAUAACUUUUACGAUGGACUUGCAUUCUCUCGAGGGAAAAUGCGUGUCGAAGAAUAAGAUAAUUCCCCGAAAACGUAUAAUCUCGAAAUUUCUUAGGAUACCGAAACAAUUUUCCAAAAUGCAACUUUCCUGAAAUAUUGGAGGCGUGCGAACGGCACGAUAAAAAUUAUCUUAUGUAAAGUUACAAUACUGGGAUCAGCGCGAUAAAAAUUAUUUAUUAUUAUUAUUAAUUAUUAUUAUUCUAAGAGAUCUGGUUGAUCGCCCUGAGUUAUUGGAAGCAUUUGUAUUUAAUAUUCCCGUUAGAUCUCUUAAAAGAUAUAUACUUUUUCAUAUUAAAUUGCAUCGCAUACUUUCUGGCGAACUUAAGUUAAUCAGUACGUUAUGUGCGCUUAAUAGAUAUUAAUAAGUAUUUUUCGGAGAAACUGUAUUUUCGGCUACAUUAUCUCGCGUUGAUCUCGAUAUUACAACUUUUCGGGAUAACCGCACGCUUCUCCACUAUUUCAAGGAAGUUGUCUUUCGAUAGACAACCGAAUACCGGUUUCCGGGACUAAUAUUAUCCGAAAAGUCGCGCCGCUUUUCGAAAUUUCGCGAUUUCGAGCGAGCGAUACACUUUCACCGUAGCGAAUUCAAGAGGCCGCCCGCGCACGAAGUCGUUCGCUACGACGAUGUCGUCGUCCGCGUCUCCGCGUUCGCGAAAUGACUUUUCUCGCGGCUCUCCGGCGGUACGCGCCGCGCAUAAAUAUCCCCCGUGUAUAUCACGGCGAGUUUCAUCGGACGGCAAAUAUUUUCAUUGGCGCAGUCGCGGCCGCUCGAUCGAGGGAGCAUUCUCGCGGUACCCGCGAAAAUACCGCAUCGGAGCGAGCCAAUCACGCGCAAAUAUUAUCCUCGAGCGAAUAAAGAGGCUCACGCUGGCUCGUCCGGCGCCCACUUCGCCGAGCGGGCCCGCGCGCGCACACAAUGGCUAAACUAAUAUUGAAAUAUCGCCGGACGAUUGGGCGCAGUGUGCAUUUUUCAACGUCGGAGCGCGGAGGCUAACGGAGGCGCGCCCGCUAACAAAUACAGUUGAUAUACGGGCGCGGGCCCGCAUUCAAAUGCCGACUGUUAAUACGAAAUCAUUUAUUUACACGAGCGCACCCCGAUCGUCACAUAGCCCGGGCUGCGCGCGCUUCAUUCGGCCCGCCGAUAAACGAGCCUCUAUCGCAAUCGAGCCGUCCGCCGUAGAUUGGAUCGCGACGUUGCGCUCAAUGAGUUUAUACCUUUUGAGGCCGCGUAAUGCGAUCACGCGGAUAAAUCGCGCGCCCGGCAGCUGCGCCGGCUCUCUUCCACCUGAUUGUGCAAUAUUCUCCUCGUGCUCUUUUUUUCCUCGGGAUUAACUUCGCGUAUGCCGUAUCGCCCGAUUAUCGUCCGACUGUGAUAUACAUCAGAAUGUGACCUCGGGAAUCCAUUCGUCGAGAAAGAACGAUAGACCAUUUCGAUUCGGCAGCAAGAUAGUACCUCUUCCUGAAGAGGUGGAUUGGAAUAUUCACGGAAUAUCGGAAACGAAUCCGCGAAGGACGCGACGUUAACUCGGAAGUCGAAUUCAAUAUUUCUCCAUAUCGCAGAAGCUUGAAAUAUUAGACUUGUUAUAUAUUUAUGAUCAAUUUUCUCUUUUCUCCAAUGCUACUUGACUUUGAGACUAAUUUGACUUUGUUAUUAUUUUAAUUGUAUCGAUCGUUAAAAAGAACCCUGUCAUAAAA